rnacentral:misc_RNA from 1 species
UUUCCGUAGGUGAACCUGCGGAAGGAUCAUUCAUAAUAAGUGUUUUAUGGAACUUUUUUUAAUCCAUAUCCACCUUGUGUGCAAUGUCAGGGUUGAUUUUUCUCUCGAGAGGAUCGGCCCCAAACAUCAACUAUAUCUCAACUCUUUGUCUGAAAAAUAUUAUGAAUAAAACAAUUCAAAAUACAACUUUCAACAACGGAUCUCUUGGCUCUC